GAUGAAGCUUAGAUGAUUUCUUCGGAAUGAACUUAAGUGGCAUUAGUGGCGAACGGGUGCAGUAACCACGUGAGUAACCUGCCUUACACAAGGGGAUAGCCUCUGGAAACGGAGAAUAAUACCCUAUAAAGUCUAAUCAGCCCAUGCUGGAAAGACCAAAGAUUUAUCGGUGUAAGAUGGACUUGCGUCUGAUUAGCUAGUUGGUGAGAUAAAAGCUCACCAAGGCGACGAUCAGUAGCCGGCUUGAGAGAGUGUACGGCCACAUUGGGACUGAGACACGGCCCAAACUCCUACGGGAGGCAGCAGUGGGGAAUUUUGCACAAUGGGGGAAACCCUGAUGCAGCGACGCCGCGUGAUUUAGAAGGCCUUCGGGUUGUAAAAAUCUUUUUUACGGGAUGAAAAUGACAGUACCGUAAGAAUAAGGUCCGGCUAAAUACGUGCCAGCAGCCGCGGUAAUACGUAUGGACCGAGCGUUGUCCGGAAUCAUUGGGCGUAAAGGGUACGUAGGCGGCCUAGUAAGUUAGAAGUUAAAGAAUAUAGCUCAACUAUAUAAAGCUUUUAAAACUGCUAGGCUUGAGAGAUGGAAGGGAAAGUGGAAUUCCUAGUGUAGCGGUGAAAUGCGCAGAUAUUAGGAAGAAUACCGGUGGCGAAGGCGACUUUCUGGUCAUCAUCUGACGCUGAGGUACGAAAGCGUGGGUAGCAAACAGGAUUAGAUACCCUGGUAGUCCACGCUGUAAACGAUGAGUGUUAGGUUCUUGGAAUAAUCUGGGAGCCGCAGCUAACGCAUUAAACACUCCGCCUGGGGAGUACGCACGCAAGUGUG
rnacentral:rRNA from 1 species